UACAGAGGGUGCGAGCGUUAAUCGGAAUUACUGGGCGUAAAGCGUGCGUAGACGGUAGCGUAAGUCAGAUGUGAAAGCCCCGGGCUCAACCUGGGAGGUGCGCUUGAUACUCGAGGGCUUGAGUGCGGGAGAGGAGAGUGGAAUUCCCAGUGUAGAGGUGAAAUUCGUAGAUAUUGGGAAGAACACCGGUGGCGAAGGCGGCUCUCUGGACCGUAACUGACGCUGAGGCGCGAAAGCGUGGGGAGCAAACAGG
rnacentral:rRNA from 1 species